GCCUGGCACAUCAGAGCCAGGAAAAGCCAGUGUUCACUCAGUGAGGGGAGCGGUUCCUUAAACACCCUCCUGAAGCAGCUUCCCCAGAGCAGCAGGGACUGCCCUGUAGGGCCCAGACAUUUAGGGUUUACGUCAGACAGGUAUGGUGUAAGAAGGACUGACGGUGACUUGGGACCAAGGUACUCUCACAGUACUUUUUCCUUCCUGGGUUUUAUCUUCUUGUAUAUUUAACAAUCAUUUACAGAGCAUCUAUAACAUCCCAACAUUGACCUGGGAGCUAACACUGUAAUGAAGAAUGACCUAGAACUCUUGUCCUGCAUGAGCUCAGUCUGAUUGAGAAAAAAAGAAAUGUGCACAAGUACAGUGAAGUGAAGGGAGACAAGGUCUCAUUCUCCCUGGGAGAGGCUGUAGUUGGGAAGACCUGGGGGAUUCGUGGAGUUGCCUCAGAGCUGGCCCUCAGAAGCAGCGUGGGCUCUAGGGACUGAGGAGGGUGUGGCAGACCACGGCAAAAGCAAGGUCACAGAGAUGGGACAGCUGAGACAGGCCAUGCAUACUGCAUGCAUCCUGACCAUAGGGACAGCACUGGGCUAUGGACCACAUGCAUCCCACAGGCAUGGAGGAACUGGGGCCUGCAGGUGGCUGACAGCUAAGAAAGCUCAUGAGGGCAGUGAGACGCUCUCCUCAACCCAUGCUGCAUGGCCCCUGUGUUCCGGGACCUUCUCAGCUCUCUAACGCCUUCACCCUCACCUCCCUAAAGUGGGGCUGGCCAGAGUCAAACACCUCCCAAGCUCCGCACAUCCAGCUCCACAGGUGCUGCCGCCACAGGGCACCCAGGCCUCACCUCCCACCUUUUUGCCCCUCCGUCUCUGCUGGGAUACCUGUUCCCAGGCCCAGCAUCCCCUGAUGCAGCUGACACCUGCCCCAAUGGUGGCACUUCUUUUGGAAGAAGCUGGCUAUUCUAACUGUUCCUCCACUUCUGUUUCCAUAAAGCUCCUCCUCAGGAGGCCAGAUGACACGGGAAGGGACAAGCCUCAGCUCUCCAGCCCCCAAGCGCACGGCACCCCAACUGCAGCCUCACAUUGCACUUACCAUGCCCGCCGCAGGAGGACACCUCUCCACCAAUGAGGACACAGAGGACUGGAUGGCUGACCCAACUACAAGCAUUUCCAGGCAGAGUGAAAAAAAUCAAGGGCCAGCAAGACUGGUGUUCGGAGGUGAGAGUCCUGAAAGAGAGUCCAUCAUGUGAGCAGUGGGCCUGAGUGAGGAGGCACACUUCUGGGCCGUGGUGCUCAGAGUGCAGAGC
rnacentral:lncRNA from 10 species